AACAGAGAAGGAGCUUGCUCCUUUGACGUUAGCGGCGGACGGGUGAGUAACACGUGGGCAACCUACCUUAUAGUUUGGGAUAACUCCGGGAAACCGGGGCUAAUACCGAAUAAUCUAUUUUACUUCAUGGUGAAAUACUGAAAGACGGUUUCGGCUGUCGCUAUAAGAUGGGCCCGCGGCGCAUUAGCUAGUUGGUGAGGUAACGGCUCACCAAGGCGACGAUGCGUAGCCGACCUGAGAGGGUGAUCGGCCACACUGGGACUGAGACACGGCCCAGACUCCUACGGGAGGCAGCAGUAGGGAAUCUUCCACAAUGGGCGAAAGCCUGAUGGAGCAACGCCGCGUGAGUGAAGAAGGUUUUCGGAUCGUAAAACUCUGUUGUAAGGGAAGAACAAGUACAGUAGUAACUGGCUGUACCUUGACGGUACCUUAUUAGAAAGCCACGGCUAACUACGUGCCAGCAGCCGCGGUAAUACGUAGGUGGCAAGCGUUGUCCGGAAUUAUUGGGCGUAAAGCGCGCGCAGGCGGUCCUUUAAGUCUGAUGUGAAAGCCCACGGCUCAACCGUGGAGGGUCAUUGGAAACUGGGGGACUUGAGUGCAGAAGAGGAAAGUGGAAUUCCAAGUGUAGCGGUGAAAUGCGUAGAG
rnacentral:rRNA from 1 species